rnacentral:rRNA from 1 species
CCUACGGGUGGCUGCAGUGGGGAAUAUUGGACAAUGGGGGCAACCCUGAUCCAGCCAUGCCGCGUGUGUGAAGAAGGCCCUCGGGUUGUAAAGCACUUUCAGUGAGGAAGAACGCCUGGUGGUUAAUACCCAUCAGGAAAGACAUCACUCACAGAAGAAGCACCGGCUAACUCCGUGCCAGCAGCCGCGGUAAUACGGAGGGUGCGAGCGUUAAUCGGAAUUACUGGGCGUAAAGCUCGCGUAGGUGGCUUGAUAAGCCGGUUGUGAAAGCCCCGGGCUCAACCUGGGAACGGCAUCCGGAACUGUCAAGCUAGAGUGCAGGAGAGGAAGGUAGAAUUCCCGGUGUAGCGGUGAAAUGCGUAGAGAUCGGGAGGAAUACCAGUGGCGAAGGCGGCCUUCUGGACUGACACUGACACUGAGGUGCGAAAGCGUGGGUAGCAAACAGGAUUAGAUACCCUAGUAGUC